rnacentral:rRNA from 1 species
UGGGGAAUUUUGCACAAUGGGGGAAACCCUGAUGCAGCGACGCCGCGUGAUUUUGAAGGCCUUCGGGUUGUAAAAAUCUUUUCUAUGGGAAGAAAAUGACAGUACCAUAGGAAUAAGGACCGGCUAAUUACGUGCCAGCAGCCGCGGUAAUACGUAAGGUCCGAGCGCUGUCCGGAAUCAUUGGGGGUAAAGGGUACGUAGGCGGGUAAGCAAGCUAGAAGUGAAACCCUAUAGCUCACCUAUAAUAUGCUUUUAAAACUGCUCAUCUUGAGGUAUGGAAGGGAAAGUGGAAUUCCUAGUGUAGCGGUGAAAUGCGCAGAUAUUAGGAGGAAUACCGGUGGCGAAGGCGACUUUCUGGCCAUAACCUGACGCUGAGGUACGAAAGCGUGGGUAGCAAACAGG